rnacentral:tRNA from 1 species
AGAGCAUCGCUCAGUGGUAGAGCACGUGCUUGGCAUGCACAAGAUCCUGGGUUCAAUCCCCAGUACCUCUG